rnacentral:rRNA from 1 species
ACCAAACCUAGCCCAACAAACCACUCAACACAACUACUAUAACAAAACUAAAACAAAACAUUUACCAAACAUUAAAGUAUAGGAGAUAGAAAUUCUUAUCAACGGCGCUAUAGAAAAAGUACCGCAAGGGAAAGAUGAAAGACUACUUCACAGUAAAAAACAGCAAAGACUAACACUUGUACCUUUUGCAUAAUGGACUAACUAGAACACCCUUGGCAAAGAGCACUUCAGUCAAGAACCCCGAAACCAGACGAGCUACUUAUGGACAGUAAACAGAACCAACUCAUCUAUGUAGCAAAAUAGUGAGAAGAUCUAUAAGUAGAGGUGAAAAGCCAACCGAGCCUGGUGAUAGCUGGUUGUCCAGAACAGAAUAUUAGUUCAAUUUAAAAUUUACCCAAAGAACCAACAAAACUAUAAUCCUACUGUAAAUUUUAAACAUACUCAAUAGGGGUACAGCUCUAUUGAACCAAGGACUAAGCCUUAAACCAGAGAGUAAGCCACGGUAACUACCCAUAGUUGGCCUAAAAGCAGCCACCAAUAAAGAUAGCGUUAAAGCUCAAAAACUACCACCAAUAUUAAUCCAACAAAACACUAUGCAAUCUCCCGACACACUACACUGGACCAAUCUAUUACUUAAUAGAAGAGAUAAUGUUAGCAUCAGUAACAAGAAUACCUUCUCCAGGCAUAAGCGUACCUCAGACCGGAUACCCCACUGACAAUUAACAGCAAGGCAACUACAACCCACCAAACAACAACAUCCCACAACUACUGUUAACCCAACACAGGAAUGCCACACUGGAAAGAUGCAAAGAAAUAGAAGGAACUCGGCAAACACGAAUCCCGCCUGUUUACCAAAAACAUCACCUCUAGCAUUACAAUUAUUAGAGGCACUGCCUGCCCGGUGACAUAUGUUUAACGGCCGCGGUACCCUGACCGUGCAAAGGUAGCAUAAUCACUUGUUCUUUAAUUAAGGACCCGUAUGAAUGGCCAAACGAGGAUUCAACUGUCUCCUAUUUCCAAUCAGUGAAAUUGACCUUCCCGUGAAGAGGCGGGAAUAAACAUAUAAGACGAGAAGACCCUGUGGAGCUUAAAUUAGUUAGCUCAACAACAACUAAUAACCACCCGACAGGAACAAUCACACACGCACAUGAGCUACCAAUUUUGGUUGGGGUGACCUCGGAGCAAAACAAACCCUCCGAAAGAUAAGCACCAAGACAUACAAGUCAAAGUCUACCAUAUCACUAAUUGACCCAAAAUAUUGAUCAACGGAACAAGUUACCCCAGGGAUAACAGCGCAAUCCUAUUAUAGAGCCCAUAUCGACAAUAGGGUUUACGACCUCGAUGUUGGAUCAGGACAUCCAGAUGGUGCAGCCGCUAUCAAAGGUUCGUUUGUUCAACGAUUAAAGUCCUACGUGAUCUGAGUUCAGACCGGAGCAAUCCAGGUCGGUUUCUAUCUAUAACUAAUUUCUCCCAGUACGAAAGGACAAGAGAAAUGAGGCCAACUUGACACAAGCGCCUUAGAUCCAAAUAGAUGAAAUUAAUCUAAAUCUAGAUCGCACACACAACAACCAACACUCUAAACCAGAGAUUUU